rnacentral:rRNA from 1 species
AUUGAACGCUGGCGGCAUGCUUUACACAUGCAAGUCGAACGGUAACAGGCCGCAAGGUGCUGACGAGUGGCGAACGGGUGAGUAAUGCAUCGGAACGUGCCCAGUCGUGGGGGAUAACGCAGCGAAAGCUGCGCUAAUACCGCAUACGAUCUAUGGAUGAAAGCGGGGGACCGUAAGGCCUCGCGCGAUUGGAGCGGCCGAUGUCAGAUUAGCUAGUUGGUGGGGUAAAGGCCCACCAAGGCGACGAUCUGUAGCUGGUCUGAGAGGACGACCAGCCACACUGGAACUGAGACACGGUCCAGACUCCUACGGGAGGCAGCAGUGGGGAAUUUUGGACAAUGGGCGCAAGCCUGAUCCAGCAAUGCCGCGUGCAGGAUGAAGGCCUUCGGGUUGUAAACUGCUUUUGUACGGAACGAAACGGCCCUUUCUAAUACAGGGGGCUAAUGACGGUACCGUAAGAAUAAGCACCGGCUAACUACGUGCCAGCCGCCGCCGUAAUAC